rnacentral:rRNA from 1 species
UACGAAGGGGGCUAGCGUUGUUCGGAAUUACUGGGCGUAAAGCGCACGUAGGCGGAUAUUUAAGUCAGGGGUGAAAUCCCAGAGCUCAACUCUGGAACUGCCUUUGAUACUGGGUAUCUUGAGUAUGGAAGAGGUAAGUGGAAUUGCGAGUGUAGAGGUGAAAUUCGUAGAUAUUCGGCAGAACACCAGUGGCGAAGGCGGCUUACUGGUCCAUAACUGACGCUGAGGUGCGAAAGCGUGGGGAGC